ACUGUGCAAGGAUUAACUGCGGCUUGUCCUUUCUGUAUCAACAGGGAGGGAGCACACAGGGGUCUUCCCUCAGUUCUCCUACAUCCAGAAAAUGAAAAUUGAAGGACUGAGAGUUUCAAAUCUCUUUUUCUGUUCUCUCCAAACUUUGAUUUUUGCUUUUUUAGAAAACAAAGUAGGAAGCUGGAGAUUUCUCUUAAGGCUUUCCUGCUGCAUAUAUUACUUAAUAACCCUCUAACCGAACAUUUCUGACGACCUUCCUUGCUUUUAAACACAUUUAGUGUGCAUGUCUUCACUUCCAGCCCUCGCCGUGCAGUUUCGGCGAUGCGCACUAGAUGGCAAUGAAAUAUCUAGGCUGACCGUCCCGAAUUCUCCAAACGUCCAGCCAGGAGCGGCUCGCCCUGCACCGGGGUUUGGGUGGAUGCACUUGGACGCGCUUAUAAAGAAAUGGUGAAAUAUUUGAACUUGAAGAAAUUACACCUGUGAACUAUGGAAAGAUGCUCAGCUUGCCAUUUGGCAGAUGCUGCAGUGCCUGCUCAAGAGAUCUGGACAUGCCACCUCUGGUGAAGAACUUGAGAAAGUAUGCAAGACCUUCAUGCUCAGCAGACCCAAUUGCUGCCCCUUAGCAUACCAUCAUAACAACAGCUCCCACUUUUGAAGAAUCAUCCUUUUUAAUAUCCCCAUUGUCCAACUAGAAACCCUACCUUCUCUUUCUGCUUCCUGUGGUGUAAGGACAUAUGACUAUGACUUCCUGCUUGAGCAUUUGAGCUCAGUUUUACUUAGACUGCUGACAUGUGCAGAAAUAGCUCUGUAUCUAUUUGUGUAAUUUUGUAUUUAAAAUAUUUGCCCACAUAUGGUUACACCAUCCAUCCCAGAUUUUCUGUUUUAAAGACAGGCUCUAGCCAUUAUAUAUACUGAUUUCACUGAAGGAUGAGCUCUGGUUGUAGAGAAAGGAGGUUAUGUGUCUAUUUUUUGUGUCCAGGUAAAAUACACACACAUAGCAAUGAAAUUGACUGGAUAAGCGGUUAUAGGUUGAGAUAACAUAUUUGCACCAAUAAUAACAAAAUCCAAUUAAUAGGGUGCCCAUGAUAGUAGCCCCGAAUGACAGGAACUAAAUAAAACAUGUAAACUGCAAAUUUAACUUUGUAGC
rnacentral:lncRNA from 14 species